CCAAGGAGUCUAACACGUGCGCAAGUCGUAGGGUUUCCCUCGAAGCCCGAAGGCGCAAUGAAAGUGAACCGUAGGCGGGAUCCCCUUGUAAUCUCCUGCGGGAGUCGGGGCGCACCGCCGGCCCGUCUCGUUUGGUCGGCGGGUUCUUUUUUUCGGUCCCUUUGCGGGGACCGGUAUAAAAAAAGGCUCGUCGGCGGAGGCGGAGCGAGAGCGUACACGUUAGGACCCGAAAGACGGUGAACUAUUCCCGGACAGGACGAAGCCGGAGGAAACUCCGGUGGAGGUCCGCAGCGAUUCUGACGUGCAAAUCGAUCGUCGGAUCCGGGUAUAGGGGCGAAAGACUAAUCGAACCGUCUA
rnacentral:rRNA from 1 species